CGUAAGGCCUUGAGACAAUGAUGAGCCUACGAAUCGUGUCAGGUUCGGAAGAAAGCAGCACUAAGUUUGUUUUAUCAUGUGUCUUAAGUUUUUUAGAAA
rnacentral:SRP_RNA from 2 species